UACGAAGGGGGGCUAGCGUUGCUCGGAAUUACUGGGCGUAAAGGCGCGUAGGCGGCACUGUUAGUCAGGCGUGAAAGUCCUGGGCUCAACCUGGGAACUGCGCUUGAUACGGCAGAGCUAGAGGAUGGAAGAGGGUCGCGGAAUUCCCAGUGUAGAGGUAGAAAUUCGUAGAUAUUGGGAAGAACACCGGUGGCGAAGGCGGCGACCUGGUCCAUUACUGACGCUGAGGCGCGACAGCGUGGGGAGCAAACAGG
rnacentral:rRNA from 1 species